UGGGGAAUAUUGGGCAAUGGGCGAAAGCCUGACCCAGCAACGCCGCGUGAAGGAAGAAGGCCUUCGGGUUGUAAACUUCUUUGAUCGGGGACGAAACAAAUGACGGUACCCGAAAAACAAGCCACGGCUAACUACGUGCCAGCAGCCGCGGUAAUACGUAGGUGGCAAGCGUUAUCCGGAUUUACUGGGUGUAAAGGGCGUGUAGGCGGUUCAUCAAGUCGGAUGUGAAAUUCCCGGGCUUAACCCGGUAGCUGCACCCGAAACUGAAGAACUUGAGUAUUGGAGAGGACAGCGGAAUUCCUAGUGUAGCGGUAAAAUGCGUAGAUAUUAGGAGGAACACCGGUGGCGAAGGCGGCUGUCUGGACAAUAACUGACGCUGAGGCGCGAAAGCGUGGGGAGCAAACAGG
rnacentral:rRNA from 1 species